rnacentral:lncRNA from 10 species
GUCGGCCGCGUGGCUGGAAGACAUGGCCACUCCAGUCGGUGUUGAGCACGGCGAGCAGUCUCAGGCCUUUAGUGAUGAUGGUAAGGCUGCCUGGGUGGGAAAACGGGGUCUUCCUUGACACGACACUAACAUACUUGGCUUCCCUUCCUCAGAGACGAAGUGGUGACGAUAAUCUCGGUUUCUCCCUCAUAGGGUGGUUAGGAGGGUUAAAAGUACUGGAUGAGAAAAUGCUUUCCAAACGUUGAGAAAAUGUUACUAUGUGAAGGGAGAGAGCUCAAGCCCGUCCUCGGCGUCAUAGGGCCGGCUUCUGCGGGGGAGAGCGCCUAACAACCUGGGCAGCCCCGUGCGCCUCCGCCGCGCGUGUGCUGAGCGUCAUGCCCAGGGGUCUUCGGUGCCCGCGCACGGGCAGACUCUGACGAUGGUGGUUCUUAAUUCAGCAUCAGGAGUGUUAACGUGUGAAGACGUGAUUCCGCUUGGAGUGUCUUGAGGACGGCCCCAAUCGGUAGUUCAUAUUUAGCUUUACAGAUAGGAGUCAAUAGGAUUGUAAACUUCUGGAAAGCCGUAGUUUUAACAACGAGCCUUUUUUCCUCCCCCAGAGGCCUUUCUUUGUUUGGCAUCUGCAGAGACGGUGAAAAGCAGAGCUCCAGGUUGAAGGAUCAGAGUAAUAGAUGGAGCCCUUAACAUGAGUAAGAGUGGGUGCAGGCAGGGCCUGAGUGGUCACUAGAAAUGAGAAAGCACAGUUGGUGCCAUCACAUACAUUCACCUCCUGCUUUAUUCUGAAGUUCAAGUAUGAGAAUACGUGUUGACAUACAAGCCAGCUAUGGUAAGAAAUUACUCAAAAUUCAGAAUGCUAAUUAUUUUAAUGAUAAAAAUGAGUAGCGUCUUUGCCCGUGUGAUUUGGGGCCACUAGGUGUCAUUGUAACCAGCGUGGAUCCUCGUUAGGGCAUGCAGGGAUGAAAGAGACAUGGCAAAUGAAUUUUGGAUCGCUAGGAUUUAGGAAUCUUUGUUAUUGGCUGAGCUGAGGAUGAUUUAAAGUUAUCCCUGUCUGAAAUGGUAUCUUUUGUGAGGAGGUCUGACUUGCUGAGGCUCAGCUGUUUAAUACAAAUCUGGAGAAUAAACCUUAAGGUGGUUUCUGUUAGAAUGAAGCCUGUUAUCCUUCUCUUUUAGAUUAAAGGUGGUGGCUGUGGCCUUGAAAACAGUCAUGUGAAAACUCAUCACCUUAAGGUGUUAAGUGUAAGGAUCUUCAUGAUGAAAUUUCUGUAAAUGGUGCAGUCAGCCUCAGUUUCCAAAGCCGGAAAAGGAUCCUCUAGUAGCCACGGUGUGGCAGCUGCUCUGAACCAGGACCUGGACCCGGACCCAAAGUGCCAUGUCUUUAAUGUUAGCUCCCAGCGAUGCCAGAUGGGAUCAGCACAGCCCUGCCUCUGCUGCUAAUUGUUCCUCUAAAGUAAUCGCCAUGCGUUCUUUGGGCUUCAUCUUUAAAGGAAUGAAGCAACUGAGAUUAUUCUGGAAAACCUUUUGGCAGUUAGUGAAAUUAGAGUACAACUAAGAACAUUUUCAGACCUCCACUGUGGAUGACCUGGGUAUAAUCUCACAAAUCGAUGGGACUGCAAGGAUUGUAAACUGAAAUGAACAUGAUUAUACUCUGUUGGAAGAGCCUAAGAGGAAACUGAUGCCAUGAGUUUCAGAGAGUAAUGCUUAACCCCAGUUACACAGGAUGCCGUCUUGUGUUUCCUCUUGUUUAGUUACCCACUACAGUGAUUUUGUGAUCUGCUAAUGGGUUGCCACCCACAACCAUUGCUUUAGCACUUUUACUUCAAAUCAAUGAAGGAUUGAUAAAAGUUCUCCUGGUGUCUCCGCAGAGUGCCUUCCAGGAACAGAUCUUUGCAUAGAAUAUCAGUGGUUUCCUUUUUUGUUUCAAAUAGUGGUCAGAAAAUACCCAGUGUUGACUCACCAAGGCAAUCAGCUUCCUUUUUCCCUUUUUUUGUUUUUUUUUUAACAUUUUAUAUUUUUGCUUUAUUUUAUUUUAUUUUAUUUUAUUUUAUUUUAUUUUAUUUUAUUUUUUGAGACGGAGUUCCACUCUGUCGCCAGGCUGGAGUGAAGUGGUACAAUCUUGGCUCACUGCAACCUCCACCUCCCGGGUUCAAGCAAUUCUCCUGGCUCAGCCUCCUGAGUGCUGGGACUACAGGCGCGUACCUUCUUUAGUAGAGACUGGGUUUCACCAUGUUGGCCAGGAUGGUCUCUAUCUCCUGACCUUGUGAUCUGCCUGCCUCAGCUUCCCAAAGUGCUGAGAUGACAGGUGUGAGCCAUCAGACCCAGCAUUUUUUUUUUUAAUUUAAAUUUAAAUUUUUUUUCAUUUUUUUGAGAGGUUUUUUUUGUUUUGUUUUGUUGUUGUUGUUGUUGUUGUUUUUGAGACAGUCUUGCUCUGUCACCCAGGCUGGGAGUGCAGUGGCAUGAUCUCUGCAACCUCUACCUCCCAGGUUCAAGCAAUUCUUGUGCCUCAGCCUCCCAAGUAACUGGGACUACAGGUGCACGCUACCACACCUGGCUGAUUUUUUUUGUUUUAGUAGAGACAGGGUUUCAACCAUGUUGCCCAGGUUGGUCUCAAACUCCUGAGCUCAGGCAAUCCACCCGCCUUGGCCUCCCAAAGUGCUAGGAUUACAGGUGUGAGCCACCACACCCAGCUAUUUUUUCUUUCGUUUUUUAAUUUUAAAGUUGGGGGGGGGUCUCAAUUUGUUACCCUGGCUGGUCUCGAACUCCCGGACUUAAGCGAUCCUCUGGCUCCAAGCCCACUACCAGUCUCAGGUUUCUUUACUAAAAGAUCACUACCUUUUUUUCUCUUAUCUGCUGCCAUGUGAGAUGUGGCUUUCACCUUCCGCCAUGAUUGUGAGGCCUUCCCAGCCAUGUAGAACUGUAAGUCCAAUAAACCUCUUUUGUAAAUUAAAAAAAAAAAAUCACUAUUUAAGAUACUAGGAUGGAUUGUGACUGUUGAGGAGUACUUACAUAUCCUACAUUUGACUACAUUAUUUCCAAACCAAGUAUUCCAUCCAAAGGAACAUACUGCUAUCAUAGAGACCAAGGAGGGACUGUUUAAGGUUGCCAAGGUGAAGCGAGCUGAGAGGCUUUGUCCUCGUGCCAGUAACUCUGAAAUCUCUCUUAAUUCCUGCUGUCCAGGCAGCAGAAUGCCAUGGUUUCCCCAAGUAGGUAGCUGCUUUAGCAGUUAAAGCCCAAAUGUCUGUUCUGUUGAUCAGAGGUCUCUGAAUUUCUGAAGUGGUGUUUCGUUUCUGGUGACUGAGUUAAUCCUUUACAAUCCCUCUUGUAAAGUGUGCUAAUAGAAAGAAUCCACCUUUCAAAGCUGCAGAACCAGACCGUGCCCUAAAUUGACCAACGUAACUGAUGUGCCUCAGGAAGUCUCUUGCCAGCUGUCCCUGUGAAGACCCCCCUCCUCCCCCCCAGCUGCUGCCUUGCACACUGAAGCAUCUCAGACUGUGCAAAGCCGUGUAGUCAUCAAGACAGUAAAUCCCAGGGCUUGGUUAAGUGCUGUGUGAUAACUUGUUUGGAUGAGACUUAACUUAAAACCACUUACAAUAAACUUGGGAAACUACCGUCA